GGCAAAGGUCUCUGUAGUUGUACAAGGCCAGAAAGGAAAAGCAGUUAUUUACUUAGUCAUUUGCCAAUAUGAAAAGGGACCAGAGGUUACGAGAGGAGGAUGUAGCUAAGAAUUAAAAGUCAACAACUUUGAAUUAAAGUUAUCAUAGUGCAUGUCAGAGAAAUUCUUUGCCAAGCUUAAGUGUGGUUUUUGUCAACAUACCAGCAGAGGUGCUGAAAAUAGCAGCUACAAGGUUAUCCGGGGAAAACAAAGGAAUUGAACAAGUUCAAAGUAUGUGUGCCAGUUAGGAGUCCUGAAGACGAUGAAGCUUUUAUCCCUUAUCUCAGACCACUUGUUGCUCUGUGUCUUCCUGAGUCUACUCUGGGGCACAACUGACUCCAAUACAACAAUCACAUCAACAGUGACGACGACAGUGACAGCAGGACAGAAAAGUACAGCAAAAACAGAAACAAGCACAAGACUAAGAACCAAUCUGCUGACAGCUCCAGAUAAUGUUGACAGAGUGGAUGUGACCACACAAAAUGAGAACAGUAUAACUCUGACCUGGAACAAGGUUAACAACAUCCCAACAUACAUCCUGCAAUAUGGUAAUAUAAGAGAAGAUAUUUAUAAACCUGAAGAAGGACCCAUAGUACAUGUGGUCACUUCUCUGACUGCUGGGACAAACUACACAUUCACUCUCUUCACCAUGUCUGAGGGACUCAACAGCAGUGGAUACAGAUUCAGUGCUGUGACAGCUCCUCGUAAUGCUGACGACUUUAAGAAAAAUGGACAAGAUGAGACCAGCAUAACUCUGGAGUGGAAAACAGUCCCCAACAUCGACAAAUACAUUCUUGCAUUUAAUGAAAGAGAGAUCAAUAUUAGUAAUUCUGAAAACGAAUACAGAGUGUUAAAUUUGACCAGUGGAACCAGAUACACUUUCACUCUCUUCACUGUGUUUGGAAAUGUCAGAAGCAGUGGAGUAAACUGCAUCACAGUCACUGGUAAGAUAUAUUUUCUCUAACAUAGACAGAUAAACCAGGAUGGACCAGCUCAUUAGUACUUGAAACUUUAGCUGAUGGAGAGUUGUUGUUUUUUUUUUUGUGUGUUUUUUUUAAUCAAAGCCACUUUCCUCUGUUAUCUUUAGCUCCACAAAGUGUUAAUAAUGUGACUGUGGUGCAUCAAAAUGAGAUGAGUAUACCACUGGAGUGGAACAAGGUUAAAAACAUCCCAGAAUACAUCCUACAGAAUAAUAACAUAAACAUUUGUCAAAUUUUCCAACUUGAAUAUGUCAAAUACUAACCCGACCUAUAAUCCUAGACUGCUUACUGCUAACCUGUUGGAGGUUAACAGAUUAAAAACAUCUAAAACAGUCAUAGUCCUUUAAAAUGUUCCACAGUUGAUGCUCCUUUACAACAUGAACAAGAGCAGAGCUCUAUAAUGAUGUUUAAGGUUUCUCAGAAACAGAAGAGUGUAGCUCACCUAAUGUUUUUCAAAAGGACUGAUAAAAAUACUGAAACUGAAGCCUCGCUCCAUGUUUCUGUGUCUGACAGAAAAUGUUGUUACAGUUUCUUGUUUGUGCGUUUUUCUAUUCUAGCUCCUCGUAAUGCUGACGACUUUAAGAAAAAUGGACAAAAUGAGACCAGCAUAACUCUGGGGUGGAAAACAGUCCCCAACAUCGACAAAUACAUUCUUGCAUUUAAUGAAAGAGAGAUCAACAUUAGUAAUUCUGAAAAAGAAUACAGAGUGUUAAAUUUGACCAGUGGAACCAGAUACAAUUUCACUCUCUUCACUGUGUUUGAUAAUGUCAGAAGCAGUGGAGUAAACUGCAUCGCAGUUACUGCUCCUCGUAAUGCUGACGAAUUUAAGAAAAAUGGACAAGAUGAGACCAGCAUAACUCUGGGGUGGAAAAUAGUCCCCAACAUCGACAAUUAUAUUCUUGUGUUUAAUGAAAGAGAGAUCAGCAUUAGUAAUUCUGAAAAAGAAUACAGAGUGUCAGACUUGACCAGUGGAACCAGAUACAAUUUCACUCUCUUCACUGUGUUUGGAAAUGUCAGAAGCAGUGGAGUAAACUGCAUCGCAG
ensembl:lncRNA